rnacentral:rRNA from 1 species
AUUGAACGCUGGCGGCAUGCCUUACACAUGCAAGUCGAACGGCAGCACGGGAGCAAUCCUGGUGGCGAGUGGCGAACGGGUGAGUAAUAUAUCGGAACGUGCCCAGUCGUGGGGAUAACGUAGCGAAAGCUACGCUAAUACCGCAUACGAUCUAUGGAUGAAAGCGGGGGAUCGCAAGACCUCGCGCGAUUGGAGCGGCCGAUAUCAGAUUAGGUAGUUGGUGAGGUAAAGGCUCACCAAGCCGACGAUCUGUAGCUGGUCUGAGAGGACGACCAGCCACACUGGGACUGAGACACGGCCAGACUCCUACGGGAGGCAGCAGUGGGAAUUUUGGACAAUGGGCGCAAGCCUCGAUCCAGCAAUGCCGCGUGAGUGAUGAAGGCCUUAGGGUUGUAAAGCUNUUUUACCCGGGAUGAUGAUGAC